rnacentral:rRNA from 1 species
UACAGAGGGUGCAAGCGUUAAUCGGAAUUACUGGGCGUAAAGCGUGCGUAGACGGUUAUGUAAGUCGGGUGUGAAAGCCCCGGGCUCAACCUGGGAAUUGCAUUCGAGACUGCAUAGCUAGGGUGCGGAAGAGGGAAGCGGAAUUUCCGGUGUAGCGGUGAAAUGCGUAGAUAUCGGAAGGAACACCAGUGGCGAAGGCAGCCUCCUGGGCCAGCACUGACGCUCAUGCACGAAAGCGUGGGGAGCAAACAGG